GGCAUUUUAAUGCCUCAAAUUCAAGAGUGUUCUUAUAGAAGCUCUGCUACUUUUUAGGUUUUCAUAAAGAUAACUUCUUGGGAAAAUUGAAAACACUUGAAAUUUCAUUGAUGUUCUAACACAAUAAGAAGAAAGCACAUACUGUUUUAGGUACAUCAAUUCUAAAAACAAAUGAAAGUGUAGGUACACUAAAAACUGGAAUGGGGGUCUUUGAUAAUGAAGACCAGGAAAAGGCAGAAAUUUUAAAUAACUAUUUCUCAUCUGCGUAGGAAGAACCUAUGGCUAUAGAUAUGCAAAUGAUUGCUGCAAAAAACUUGCAGAAACAUUGUGAUUGGAUGACUCAAGACAAGGUGCUGCUGCAACAAAAGAAAGCUAAUAUAAACAAAGCUGCAGGGCCUAAGGAUAUUCGUCCACUAGUACUUAAGGAACCAAGUGUGGAAAUAAGUGAAACUCUGUUUUUAAUCUUUUAAGAUUUUCUUCCAGGAAUUGUACCUGAG